rnacentral:rRNA from 1 species
UGGGGAAUAUUGCACAAUGGGCGCAAGCCUGAUGCAGCCAUGCCGCGUGUGUGAAGAAGGCCUUCGGGUUGUAAAGCACUUUCAGCGGGGAGGAAGGCGUUAAGGUUAAUAACCUUGGCGAUUGACGUUACCCGCAGAAGAAGCACCGGCUAACUCCGUGCCAGCAGCCGCGGUAAUACGGAGGGUGCAAGCGUUAAUCGGAAUUACUGGGCGUACAGCGCACGCAGGCGGUUUGUUAAGUCAGAUGUGAAAUCCUCGGGCUCAACCUGGGAACUGCAUCUGAUACUGGCAAGCUUGAGUCUCGUAGAGGGGGGUAGAAUUCCAGGUGUAGCGGUGGAAUGCGUAGAGAUCUGGAGGAAUACCGGUGGCGAAGGCGGCCCCCUGGACGAAGACUGACGCUCAGGUGCGAAAGCGUGGGGAGCAAACAGG